rnacentral:tRNA from 6 species
UAAGAGUUAGUUUAAUAUUAGAAUUGUUGACUGUUGAUCAAUGGGUGAUUCUCUUAG